GAUGAACGCUGGCGGCGUGCCUAAUACAUGCAAGUCGAACGCAUAGCGAAAGGUGCUUGCACCUUUCAAGUGAGUGGCGAACGGGUGAGUAACACGUGGACAACCUGCCUCAAGGCUGGGGAUAACAUUUGGAAACAGAUGCUAAUACCGAAUAAAACUUAGUGUCGCAUGACACAAAGUUAAAAGGCGCUUCGGCGUCACCUAGAGAUGGAUCCGCGGUGCAUUAGUUAGUUGGUGGGGUAAAGGCCUACCAAGACAAUGAUGCAUAGCCGAGUUGAGAGACUGAUCGGCCACAUUGGGACUGAGACACGGCCCAAACUCCUACGGGAGGCUGCAGUAGGGAAUCUUCCACAAUGGGCGAAAGCCUGAUGGAGCAACGCCGCGUGUGUGAUGAAGGCUUUCGGGUCGUAAAGCACUGUUGUAUGGGAAGAACAGCUAGAAUAGGAAAUGAUUUUAGUUUGACGGUACCAUACCAGAAAGGGACGGCUAAAUACGU
rnacentral:rRNA from 1 species